UUCUUCAGUUCUUAUAGAAACUCGAAAUCAGAAUAUGUAAAUUAUAGUUAUAAAAUGCAAAUUAAGCAUUACAUUAUACCUAUUAAAUCUGUCGAAAUCUUGUGCUAACAAUCCAAUCAACUAAGACCCUUAUGUGUUUAAAUUAGAUUCUCAGCACAAGAUUUUUAAAGGUUUACUACGUAAAACUUAAUGGUGAAUCUGCAUUUUAUGAAUCUUAUUUUCAUAUUCUGAUGGUUCAUGUGUUCAAUGCAAUUGUUCGUCAAAAAUUCAUCAAACUUCUACCAUUUUCCAUAGAUGACAUUGAUGUUAUAAUAAAACUUCAAAUGAGAUAAACCAAUCCAUUCAUUUCCAAUAGAAAAGCAGUACGACAAAUAAACACUGCAUAUGAACUGUAAAACUACGAUGAGCAAUAUAUAAAAGGUGCAUAUACUUAAAAUCACCUCGUUCAUUUACA